CCCCCACCCUAGCGCCGCCGCUCCGAUAUCCAUCGACGACGCAGCUCCGCCGCUAACGUCCACAGAUCAUAGUUUCUCUCCGCUUCUUCCAUCUACUCCUACCACAAUCUUUUCCAGCCACUUCCUGAAACUCCCAGGCCACUCCACCCUAGAUCGUUGAUCGAUGUCGUCGAUCUGGAAGUUCCCGUUUCGAGGGCAUGCCAGAAGGAAGAAUACCCCAGCCUGUGCGUGUGGUUGAGCCCAUAUGACCAAGCUACAGGCCCGUUCGAGGAUUGUUGCGGUCACUACUGUAAGCAACGGCUUUGUCGUGCUUCAGAUGCCCCCGGUGUGGAGGACGAGGACCAUGUAGGAGUUCAAGGGCUGGUUCAAUCUCAACUUCAGGUUGGCAUACCAUGAAAUUCCCGAUCUGUUUGGAUCACUCUAUGAUCUGGACUUGUGGUACUCCAUGGUGUGGAGGUUAGUAGCGCACUUACCUAGUCACAAAUAAGAUCUGCACCCUCUCUGUCUAAUUAUUCAUUGUCCCAUUAUUUACCUUUUUCCUUGCAUUCUCUGUGACUGAAAGAUGCAGUUCAAGUCACCUGUUUUUCAAAUCUCUAAAUAGUUGCAGUAAUUGUGAUUAUGUUAUGGAUUGUAGGCUUGUGAUUUAAACCUUCGAACCACAAUUUUGCUUGUGCUGAUGCAAUUUCUCUGUCAAAUUGUCAACCUAGUAUUGUAGUAUACUAGCUUGCCUUGGCUAACUGUUGACAAUACAUGUGCAAAUAGAUGUGUCGAUUUGUUAAAAUACUAGCUUACCUUGGCUAACUGUCUAAGCUUGUACCUUUAUUAAAGGUUGUUGGAUGUCAAUGUUGUGCAGCUUCAUGGACUGAUGGAUAUGUAAUUACCUAACUGCAGCAUUGAAGAAAAUGGGGGCAACUACCAUGACCCUCUCACUUCAUUGAUACACCCUUUGAUGGUAUAGAAGACCAAUAAAGGUUUCCACGGGUUGAACUGUUGAAGAAUAGUGGUCGACGUCAUGACCACGGUGACGGCCAACGGACUCGCUCGAGGCUGGAUCUUCUAAUGGCCUGAUCAGUCUACCUCGCCGAUGGCUAGAGGACUCACCGGUUCUGCUGCUUUCUUGCCGCCACCGGCGUGGGUACCGCAUGGAUGCUGAAGGACUCUGUUGCUUGCUCGCCUGGCUACUGCAAGGCUACUGACAAGCUACACUGCGUGUUCUCUGGCAUAUUGGCAAGAUAAGUGGAUGCUAUGGAUGACAUUAUGAAUGCAACUUGCAAGGUGUAACAUGUCUUUAUCUGUCAAUACUCCUUGUGCACUAGCCAGACCACCAAUUUGCGUUGGCAUACCACCAAAGCCAGUAUGCCUCAUUGAUAAUUUUUUAAGUCACAGAGAUCCGCAUGACUUUGCUAUAUUCGGAUCUGAGGCCUCGGCGUGUUAGGCAUACUAUUAAAAACAAUAGAUAUAGGAUUAGGUAGAAUACUAUAUUAUGAUUUGCAACAUUGUAAAUGUUCUACUCUUGAGACACGUAUAUCAUGUAUGAGAUGGUGGUUCCAAUUAUAAAUGUUGAA